rnacentral:lncRNA from 1 species
CCCAGGGGUGGGCACCUCGCCCUCCAGUUGGCAUCGUCUCACAUCCUGCAGUCAUCACGCUGCUCAGGAACAAGGAAGAAUUCCUGGUACUGGAAGAGUUUUGACUGGGAAAAUGUGUGACCAUGCUCUGUUUCUCUUUUUUUCUUCUUCUUUUUUUUUGGCUUGGUGUUUACAUCCUGAUGCUGUAUGAGUCAGCAUGGGCUGCUAUGACAAAACCCCACAGACCAGGAGGCUUAAACAACUAAUGCUUAUUGUCUCAGAGUUCCGGGGCGGGGUGCAAGAUCAAGGUGCCUGGUGGUUUGGUUUCAGGUGAGGCUUGUCACUGUGUCCUCACAGGGCCUUUCCUCCAAGUGGGGCCAUAGAGAGAAAGAGCUUGCUCUGUCCCUUUCUAGAAGGGCACUAACCCUAUCACAAGGGCUUCAUCCUAAUGACGUAAUUAACCCCAAUCACCUCCCCAAGGCUGCAUUUCCCAUAUCAUCACACUGGAUCAGGGCUUCAAGGCACAAAUUUAGGGGAGUACAAACUUCAGUCCACACAGAUGCCCAGACAGCCAGCUCAGCUCAGCAUCAUCAGCCACCCCCUCAAGGCCCAUGGCUUCUCCACUUUGCCUCAUCCCAGUUUCACCAUCGCAGUUCUCAAGGCAAGCACAGAAACCAUCUGGCCUUCCAUCUGCCAGGCAGACCUGUCACCCCUUGGCCUUGUCUCGUCCCCAGUGGCCUUUCAGACCUCCUGCCCCCUCAAGCCCCCUUCAGUCCCAUCACCUCUCCUUCCCAAGGGUGCUUGUUCUCUUUCCUCCUGACUUUCUCCUUCUUAACUUCUCUAGCUCUUCCUUUCAAAAAUAUACACUGAAUGUCCAGUAUGUUUGAUUCACUUUGCAGAGAACUAUGUACUAGGUAUGCAAAUAUAGGUUAUAGGCUGUUAAGUAGAACAUUUUCUGGACAUCUUAAAAUUUUGGCUGAAGUCACCAAGUUGAGAACAUGGGUGGUUAAGGAACCUUUAUGUUCUAAAAAAUGUGCUUGGAGUUCCAGUUGUUAUUUUAGUGUUUUAUUUCUUAAUGUGUCAACUGCAGCACACAUGGUCUCUGAGUGUGAUGGGAGUCUUCUGCCUCUGGCUGCUCCCAGCAGCACCAAGCCUAGUGCAAACAUCAUGCAUGGAAGCCACCUCUUACUGCUGUACUUGAGCUAAACCCUAAAGAAAAUGGGCACCUCUUUAAAACUUAGGAGACUUUACAUGCGUGUGCACACACACACACACACACACACACACACACACACACACACACACUCUUCUGGAUUCCAGCUAAAGCAAUCGGGUAUUAUGUGAGGAUGUGCUCUGGCAACACCGCCUUGGGCAUGCAGCCUUUCUCUUCACCUAAUACUCCUGUUUGCGUUACCUGCCUUCCUGUGUAGACUUCGCACUUGGGGUUCUGGUAUCAUAUUGUCCAUGAAUAUGGCCCCUUUCCUGUCUUGCCAGAUGCACCAUCUGAAAAUGUAAGCUCUUAUGCACAAACCCUCCAUGUCCUGCAGGUCUGGGCCUGCCAACCCAGCACUUCUGCUAUCUGCUCAGAUCUGACCAGUG